GACGAACGCUGGCGGCGUGCUUAACACAUGCAAGUCGAACGGAAAGGCCCUGCUUUUGUGGGGUGCUCGAGUGGCGAACGGGUGAGUAACACGUGAGUAACCUGCCCUUUACUUUGGGAUAACUUCAGGUAACUGGGGCUAAUACCGGAUAGGAGCUCCUGCUGCAUGGUGGGAGACGGAAAGGUUCGGCGGUUAGGUUUGGACGCGCGGCUUAUCAGCUUGUUGGUUGGGUAGUGGCCUACCAAGGCUUUGACGGGUAGCCGGCCUGAGAGGGUUACCGCGUACAUUGAUGCUGAGAUACGGCCCAGGUGCCUACGGGAGGCAGCAGUGGCGAACAUUGACCGAUGAGCGGACGCCUGAUGCCGCAACGCCGCGUCCGGGAUGCCGGCCUUCGGGUUCUAAACCGCUUUCGCACGUGACGCAGCGUGAGUGACGGUACUGGGUAAAGACGCACCGGCUUACUACGUG
rnacentral:rRNA from 1 species